UAUUAAAAAAACAGUCCUAACCACUGUGAAAUUACAUCUGAAAGUCCUUAUUUCUGUCCCCUGGCUGAAGAAGAAGCCUAGUAUGCAUAGCUCAGGUACUGAAAUCAACAGUGUUAGGUCUUUGAUCACUUGCUGGUGAGGAUAUAAAAGGUAAUAAAUGUAUCUUCCAUCUGUUGCUGCCGCCUGCUUACCUCAAAAAAAA